ensembl:lncRNA novel transcript
UGAGCCUCAGCAUUCUUAUAGGUGUAACAAGGAAGUGAGACUUUUUGGCCUCUAAAAGCUUUUAUAACUUGGAGAGAUUAGUUGAUCUAAUCUAUGACCCCAUCCUCCAGUUAGGAAGCUGAGGUCCUGGAAGACAAAGUGCUUUUAUCUCAGGUUGCCCAAUGGAUAAGUACAUUACUUUUUAACUCUAUGCCUGAUUGACCAAGGUAAAGCUGAAAGAGUCUCAUCUGAACUAUAACCCAAGUGGGUAAGCCAGUCCCUUGGCACUGCCCAGGAAGAAGAUAUGGAUGGGAGGACUACUCCUUCUUGAAUGCAGAGGAUAAAAGUUAUCUGGGAGCUCUUUUACGAUUGUUGGAGAAGAUAGGAGAAAGUGAAGAAGGGAAGAAGAGAAAAAAACAGAGAAGAAAGAAGGAAAAGAAGAUAGAGGGACAAGUAGAAGAAGGAAAGGAAAGGAAAAGCAAGGAAAAAGGAUAACCUGUCCUCUUUGACUAGUAGGCUCACCAACUCUUCUUUACCAUGGAAGGGAUUUCAGUAGGACCAAAGGCUUUUCCCAUGAAAUAGUAUUUUAUCUUGAUAAGAACCUAGCACAUUGGUUACCAACCUCCUUAAAUUGAUUCCCUCAAAAGGAAGAAAGUGUAUCUGGAAAUCCUCUGAAACUUCCAGAGUCCCCCAAGCCCAGUGCUAUUUCUACCAGGGGAGAAAGCAGAGCUCUUUGUAUAUAUGGGUAGGAGCAAAGUAAGAUUCUCCUCCCCCUUUCCCCACAACCCGAAGCAGAAGUUUCUCCUGAGAUUUCAACCAGUAAAAUCACCAUAUAAUAGAUUAGGCAUCCUGAGAAGUUCUUAAUGGAACGAGAGCUCUCACUAAUCAAAGCAGGAAAGAACAGGGCCUUGAAGAAAUCAGAAAUCUAAUUAAGGUGGAAUUUCAAGAGAUCUGACUGAAUGUUAAAUAAGUUGUAGAAGCCUCAUCAAAAGGAUUAACUCAGCUGCAGAGACAACGCAGAAGUGCAGGUGGGGAUUCUGCAUGAAGACUGGAAAAAAAAACAGUGACAAGAACUGAAAGUGGUCAUUGUGUUCAUGGUGUGUCUAAAGGACAGAUAAAAGAAAGAGGUGCCCCUGACCCCUCCUUUCAUCCCAUCUUAGUUGAUGAGGUUUGGGGAAAAGAAGAGUUUGUUAAGCUCAUUUAAUCUGUUUUGUCUUGUCCAUGUUUUCAUCAAGCAACUUUCUGAUUAAUUUGGCUUUUAGAAUAUAUUUUUCCAAGCAAGACAGAGAUUGUUAUUCAGCCAACAUGAGCAUUCCCAGCUGUUUUUGGGUUAUAUUAGCUCUGGAAUUAAAACAAAACCAAACAAAAAAGCCUCUCUGUGUU